CUGGCGGCGUGCCUAACACAUGCAAGUCGAGCGGGGACAUACGACGGAACCAAAGUUUCGGAUGGAGGUGAAGAUGUAUGUUCUAGCGGCGGACGGGUGAGUAACGCGUGAGCAACCUGUCCCUCACAGGGGGAUAACACAGCGAAAGUUGUACUAAUACCGCAUAAGACCACGGUAAGACAUCUUACAGGGGUCAAAGGAGCAAUCCGGUGAGGGGUGGGCUCGCGUCCGAUUAGAUAGUUGGUGAGGUAACGGCCCACCAAAGCAACGAUCGGUAGCCGACCUGAGAGGGUGAUCGGCCACAUUGGAACUGAGACACGGUCCAGACUCCUACGGGAGGCAGCAGUGGGGAAUAUUGGGCAAUGGGCGAAAGCCUGACCCAGCAACGCCGCGUGAGGGAAGAAGGGUUUCGGCUCGUAAACCUCUGUCCUAAAGGGCGAAAGAAAUGACGGUACUUUAGGAGGAAGCCCCGGCUAACUACGUGCCAGCAGCUGC
rnacentral:rRNA from 1 species